rnacentral:rRNA from 1 species
UACGUAGGGGGCUAGCGUUGUCCGGAAUCAUUGGGCGUAAAGAGCGUGUAGGCGGUCCGGUAAGUCCGUUGUGAAAGUCAAGGGCUCAACCCUUGAAUGCCGGCGGAUACUGUCGGGCUAGAGUCCGGAAGAGGAGAGUGGAAUUCCUGGUGUAGCGGUGAAAUGCGCAGAUAUCAGGAAGAACACCCGUGGCGAAGGCGGCUCUCUGGGACGGUACUGACGCUGAGACGCGAAAGCGUGGGGAGCGAACAGG